CUUAUCUCUUAGGUGAGAGACUUUGCCUGUUUCAUCACUCAUAAAAUUAGGAGUAAGAAUAAACUACCUCAUAAGAUAGCUCUGAGGAUUAAGCUCAACUUGGGUCUUAUCUGGAUAUAAAGCCUGGCCAGCAUCUCUUAACUUUAGAGAGCCCUAAAUCAGGACCAGGAAAUAGCUCAUUCAUUUAUGCCUUAUCAUCUCCACUGCACUUAACUCCUAGUCUAUAAUAACUCUGCCCUGAGCUAGAGGCCAGCCUUGAGAUCCUUUUUUUUUUUUUAAACUCGCUGAGGCCUCGCAAAACACUUUUUAAGCCAUAAAGCACUCCUAUGUGAGAUACAGCCUGUCAUCACCUUUACCACCUCUUCCUCAUGUAAACAGCCCUAUCUGAAACUCUCUUAUGUGUGCCCUCACCUUCUACCCUUCAGAUUCACUACAGAAACUUCCUUCUUGGCCUGCAUACAUACCUGCAAACAACCUCUCCUCUCUCCCAGCGGCGAACACUAGACUUAGAGCCUCAGGGGCGUGAACUCUCCUUGUUGACCUCUGUAGCCUUGUGACCGUAUUGUGAAUAUGCGGCUAACCAAGAAGAGUCUACUUGAUAUUUGCUUUUACACCAUAACUGCCCCCCCAUCACUAUCACCAAACCAAGGCAUUUGAAAAAUCAAAUUCUUCUUAGUUACAAAAUGGGAAAAAAUAGAAAUGGAG
rnacentral:lncRNA from 10 species